CUUGGGCACACAUUUCAAAAUAUUUUACAUUUUUUAAAACGACGCGUUUAGAAUGCCAGUCGACUUGUAAGCAAGUCUGAGUAAGAUAUUCCAGCCACGUUUGAGAAAAUUUACAUAAGCUGUCAGCGUGUCUAUUAGUCUUGAUAACUUUAAUACUAGUUUAAUACAGGUUUAGCAUCGGAAGCACGCGUGGGCCGCAGGGUCCUUAACCCCGCGAACCACAACCUAUAUCACGUUUUGUAAAUAAACAUAUAGGAAAUACCGGUUCACUGGAAAACUACUCACAUCUGAGGUCGGCGUAGGUCGGGAGGCCACGGGUCUCAUUGAGCAACACUUAAUUCUCGUCCUACUGACAUAUCAGCUGGAUAGUUUAGGGCGGUUAAUAGUUCGUUGUACUGCCCAGAGAUGCAUGUACAUAGUGUUCUGUUCCGCCUAAAAGAUAUCAUACGAAUUCCGCUACAAAUUCCGACAUUAAGGCAGCUUCGACCGAUCGCGAAACAUGCUUUACAAACAGGUAAAGUGUAGUAAAUUUACUUUUAAAUUUUUAAUGUGAAUAUUGGGAAAUUACAGUGCAAAGGCCGUUCACGGCUGGCGCUUUGCCGCGAUAGUUCACGUUACAUUUAUUCCGAUUUAAUUUAUCGCGCAUAGACACAGGUAUAUAUUUAUAGUGUGAAAU